AUUGGAGAACCUCUUCCUUGUCCUCCCUGUGCCCCCUGCUCCAUCCUUCCCCCUUUUUAUCUCCCUGGCUCAGGGAACCUGGUGUCUGGCAUUGGCAAAAGUUAAAGAAACAGAAAUCAGGCUGCCUCAGGCUCAGGAGUCCCCAUCCCACCUCACAGGCUGGCCAGGACACCUGCAUUCUGGAAGGGCAGUGUUCCCCACGCCCUGAUCAGUGAUUGAGCGGCGGGCCCCUUGCCUCCCUCGGCGCCUUCAGAAGUGUGAUGCUCUGUCGCCACCUGGUGGACGUAACAGACCAUGCAUGGAGCGGCCCAGCCUCCCCCGUCUGGGGAACAGAUCCGGAAUGCGGCUUCUUUCGGACGGAGGCCGAAAAGGAGGCACACACAACACGGAUACACCUUACCAUUGUAAAAAAUUAUUGCACAAUGCAGUAA
rnacentral:lncRNA from 1 species